GACGAACGCUGGCGGCGUGCUUAACACAUGCAAGUCGAACGGACAGACAGAGAGCUUGCUCUCUUGAAGUUAGUGGCGAACGGGUGAGUAACGCGUAAUCAACCUGCCCUUCAGAGGGGGAUAACAACGGGAAACCGUUGCUAAUACCGCGUACGAUUCAUGAACGGCAUCGUUUAUGAAUGAAAGGUGGCCUCUAUGUAUAAGCUAUCGCUGAAGGAGGGGAUUGGGUCUGAUUAGCUAGUUGGAGGGGUAACGGCCCACCAAGGCAAUGAUCAGUAGCCGGUCUGAGAGGAUGAACGGCCACAUUGGGACUGAGACACGGCCCAGACUCCUACGGGAGGCAGCAGUGGGGAAUCUCCCGCAAUGGACGAAAGUCUGACGGAGCAACGCCGCGUGAGUGAUGAAGGUCUUCGGAUUGUAAAGCUCUGUUAAUCGGGACGAAAGAGUUCUGCGUGAAUAAUGCAGAAAAGUGACGGUACCGGAAUAGAAAGCCACGGCUAACUACGUGCCAGCCGCCGCGGUAA
rnacentral:rRNA from 1 species